AUGCCGGCCAGGUGCCAUGCGGAGAGAGUGGAGCCGCGGUGCUGCGCGCGGUGGAGACGCCGCCGCCGCAUGUCACCGGAAAUCACGAGCUGCGGAGAGCUCCGAGAUCCCCUGCCCAGGGGUGGACUCGGCGCCCCGCGGGUGGUGGUGUUGCGACCAGCGCUAGACGGUGCUGGGACCGGUGUCCGCCGGUUCUAG
rnacentral:rRNA from 1 species